GAAGAGGUUGUUGAGGAGUGAAGUGUGUUGGAAGGCAGUUGGAGAUGGUGAUUCUUCUUCUACUUCGUUUAUAUUGGAGCAAUAUUAGAAAAUAUGAAAAUAAUAAAAGAAUUUCAAUGAUACUAAUCAUAAAGAAAAAACAUCAAGUAUGCAAGAUUAAUACAAACAACUAGAGAGAAAGUAAGAAAGAUUGACAAACUUGGAGAUUGAGGUUUGCAUAAGAAAGAUUGACAAACUUGGAGGUUGAGGUUUGUAUAAAUGCAAUGUCCUAAAGACAGAAUUUCAUCCAUACUCUUGUGCUUAUAGUUUGGUAGGUAUCCGUCUCCUAGGAUUCAACAAUCUAUAAUCCGAAGUCAAAGCACUUCAAUCUUUGGACUCUGACGAACUUUAUAUAUUUUGUACUCUCAGGACACGACUCAGAGUUUGACUAACAAAGAAUAAAAGACAUUGGAGAAAACUCUUUUCUUCGAUUCAUUAGACAUGUGGGAUGUUUGAGUUUAUAUAGAACUCAAGCCACCCCUUUCGAAAUAUAGUGAAUGUUGUCUAAAGUUCCAAUGAAUAGAUGCAACUUAUGAAUUUAAAUUCAACCAUAACACUUGCCUCUUAUUUUUCAU
rnacentral:lncRNA from 1 species